GAUGAACGCUAGCGAUAGGCUUAACACAUGCAAGUCGAGGGGCAGCAUGGUCUUAGCUUGCUAAGGCUGAUGGCGACCGGCGCACGGGUGCGUAACGCGUAUGCAACUUGCCUCACAGAGGGGGAUAACCCGUCGAAAGACGGACUAAUACCGCGUACACUCUAUGUUGGGCAUCCAAUGUAGAGGAAAUGAAAUUCGCUGUGAGAUAGGCAUGCGUCCCAUUAGCUAGUUGGUGAGGUAACGGCUCACCAAGGCGACGAUGGGUAGGGGAACUGAGAGGUUGAACCCCCACACUGGUACUGGGACACGGACCAGACUCCUACGGGAGGCAGCAGUGAGGAAUAUUGGUCAAUGGGCGAGAGCCUGAACCAGCCAAGUCGCGUGAAGGAUGACUGUCUUAUGGAUUGUAAACCUCUUUUAUACGGGAAUAACAAGAGUCACGUGUGGCUCCCUGCAUGUACCGUAUGAAUAAGCAUCGGCUAACUCCGUG
rnacentral:rRNA from 1 species